rnacentral:rRNA from 1 species
UGAGGAAUAUUGGUCAAUGGGCGCGAGCCUGAACCAGCCAAGUAGCGUGCAGGACGACGGCCCUAUGGGUUGUAAACUGCUUUUAUACGGGGAUAAAGUAUGCCACGUGUGGUUUAUUGCAGGUACCGUAUGAAUAAGGACCGGCUAAUUCCGUGCCAGCAGCCGCGGUAAUACGGAAGGUCCGGGCGUUAUCCGGAUUUAUUGGGUUUAAAGGGAGCGUAGGCCGGGUUUUAAGCGUGCCGUGAAAUGUCGGGGCUCAACCUUGACACUGCGGCGCGAACUGGAGUCCUUGAGUGCGCGGAACGUAUGCGGAAUUCGUGGUGUAGCGGUGAAAUGCUUAGAUAUCACGAAGAACCCCGAUUGCGAAGGCAGCAUACGGCAGCGCUACUGACGCUGAAGCUCGAAGGCGCGGGUAUCGAACAGG